AUCCAGCUGACGAGUGCCAAAUAGGACGAAACGUGCGCCCUGGAU
rnacentral:hammerhead_ribozyme from 1 species